rfam:Heterocephalus glaber contig159616, whole genome shotgun sequence.
UAGCUUAGUGAUAAAGCACUUGCCUAACAUGUAAGAGGCCCUGGGUUCAGUCCCCUG